rnacentral:lncRNA from 1 species
GGGCGCGCCGCCGGACCUCGGCUCCGUGCUCGGCCACCCCACCCCCAACCUCCGCGACCUCUACGCGCUGGGCCGCAAGCUCGGCCAGGGCCAGUUCGGCACCACCUACCUCUGCACCGAGCUCGCCACGGGGGUCGACUACGCCUGCAAGUCCAUCUCCAAGCGCAAGCUCAUCACCAAGGAGGACAUCGACGACGUGCGCCGCGAGAUCCAGAUCAUGCACCACCUCUCCGGCCACAGGAACGUCGUCGCCAUCAAGGGCGCGUACGAGGACCAGCUCUACGUCCACAUCGUCAUGGAGCUCUGCGCCGGCGGCGAGCUCUUCGACCGGAUCAUACAGCGCGGACACUACAG